rnacentral:tRNA from 1 species
GAGGAUAUAGUUCAACGGUAGAGCACUUGCCUAGCAUGUGCAAGGCCCUGGGUUCUAUCCCCAGCACCUUCA